rnacentral:rRNA from 1 species
UACGGGGGGGGCAAGCGUUGUUCGGAAUUACUGGGCGUAAAGGGCUCGUAGGUGGCCAACUAAGUCAGACGUGAAAUCCCCAGGCUUAACCUGGGAACUGCGUCUGAUACUGGAUGGCUUGAAUUCGGGAGAGGGAUGCAGAAUUCCAGGUGUAGCGGUGAAAUGCGUAGAUAUCUGGAGGAACACCGGUGGCGAAGGCGGCAUUCUGGACCGAAACUGACGCUGAGGCGCGAAAGCCAGGGGAGCAAACGGGA